AUCUAGGCUCUUGCAUCGAUGAAGAACGUAGCGAAAUGCGAUACUUGGUGUGAAUUGCAGAAUCCCGUGAACCAUCGAGUCUUUGAACGCAAGUUGCGCCCGAUGCCAUUAGGUUGAGGGCACGUCUGCCUGGGUGUCACAUAUCGAAGCCUCCUGCCAAUUUC
rnacentral:rRNA from 75 species